GGGUGAGUAACACGUAGGUAACCUGCCCCGGAGCGGGGGAUAACAUUUGGAAACAGAUGCUAAUACCGCAUAACAACAAAAGCUGCAUGGCUUUUGUUUGAAAGAUGGCUUUGGCUAUCACUCUGGGAUGGACCUGCGGUGCAUUAGCUAGUUGGUAAGGUAACGGCUUACCAAGGCGAUGAUGCAUAGCCGAGUUGAGAGACUGAUCGGCCACAAUGGAACUGAGACACGGUCCAUACUCCUACGGGAGGCAGCAGUAGGGAAUCUUCCACAAUGGGCGCAAGCCUGAUGGAGCAACACCGCGUGAGUGAAGAAGGGUUUCGGCUCGUAAAGCUCUGUUGUUGGAGAAGAACGUGCGUGAGAGUAACUGUUCACGCAGUGACGGUAUCCAACCAGAAAGUCACGGCUAACUACGUGCCAGCAGCCGCGGUAAUACGUAGGUGGCAAGCGUUAUCCGGAUUUAUUGGGCGUAAAGCGAGCGCAGGCGGUUGCUUAGGUCUGAUGUGAAAGCCUUCGGCUUAACCGAAGAAGUGCAUCGGAAACCGGGCGACUUGAGUGCAGAAGAGGACAGUGGAACUCCAUGUGUAGCGGUGGAAUGCGUAGAUAUAUGGAAGAACACCAGUGGCGAAGGCGGCUGUCUGGUCUGCAACUGACGCUGAGGCUCGAAAGCAUGGGUAGCGAACAGGAUUAGAUACCCUGGUAGUCCAUGCCGUAAACGAU
rnacentral:rRNA from 1 species